rnacentral:rRNA from 11 species
AUUAAGUGUUGCAUAGUUGGUCAAAGGCACCAGAUCCCCUCUGAUCUUGGAAACUAAGAAAGGUCAGCCCUGAUUAAUACAUAGGUGGGAGACCACCAAUGAACACCAGAUAUUCUAAGUU